UGGUUUAGACAUGUUUACAAACUUGCUAAGUUGCUAAGAUAAAUACAAAUACAAAUGCCAGCUAAACUGUUACCGGUAAAAUUUGUUCUCAUGAUCAAACUCAAGAAACUCUAAGUACAGAUGAUUUGUUUAAAGUUAUAUGUAUUUUACUGUUGUAUUUACUUGAAGCUUUCUUAGAUUUUGAAACGAAGUAAACACGUAAUGUGUGUUGCUAAUGUUGGGCCAUGUAAUAUGUAAUACAUUUACGUUUUAAUGAAUAGUCAGUCUAACGAUUUAUAGUCGUUGUACUCUAUUGUUAUAAUAUUUCUUUUUGACUGAAUACAUGUUUGUUUUAUUUGUCUAUAUCCUAGAUUCGCAGCUGUACACAUCCUUCUACACUGUAUGCAAACAUGCAACAUCAUUACACACAGUACAAGGAGUCAGACUGGCAUAUGAGGAGCAAAGGAACCCAGGCAGUAGCAUCGUUUUACAAUGUUUCCAUCAUCAUCAUCAGUGGAUGCCUUUGCUGUCCGUAGCCUGAGAUUUCAGAUUUGCAGCAAAAAAAAUUGAUUUUCUCAUUUAUUGGAAUGCUGUGCAGGUAUUUGUACCUUGCAGCCAUCCAUUACAAUGUCACCAAGCCGUAACAAAAGCAGGAGAGGAAAAGUACAAGGCUAUGUUCCCAAAACACACAAGUGACAUACCUUAUGUGGAGGAUGUGAUCAGGCUUGUGUUUGAUGAGGUAUUUGAAGAUAAGCUGAAGGAAACCCCGAUUCCAAUGGACCUGGCAUCACAGUUUGAGAGACCUUCAAAGGAGGACGUGAUUGCAUGCCAUCUUCAGUGCAGGGGUCGUCGAAAGCCAAAAUUGUGACCGAUCUGAUCAGGAAGCUCCAAGCGUAUCUGGAGAACAACACACGACAGGAUGAUAACCUUAUAGUGUCGUCUUAAAUAGCACCAGCUGACAAAGCUUUGCUGUGCCAUUUAUCUGAAUAGAUAGCUGUAAGAAAUGAAUUGAACAAUUUUUGAAAGAAGAGCACAAUAUGGUUACUAAAGUAUGUUUAUUUGUAUAUUGUUUAACAUUUAAAUAUAUAUUUGUAAUAAAUAAAAAAAACUUUUGACUGACUAUUA